rnacentral:rRNA from 1 species
UACGAAGGGGGCUAGCGUUGCUCGGAAUUACUGGGCGUAAAGGGCGCGUAGGCGGCCUUCUAAGUCGAACGUGAAAUCCCCGGGCUCAACCCGGGAACUGCGUCCGAUACUGGAAGGCUUGAAUCCGGGAGAGGGAUGCGGAAUUCCAGGUGUAGCGGUGAAAUGCGUAGAUAUCCGGAAGAACACCUGAGGCGAAGGCGGCUUGCUGGGCCUGAUCUGACGCUGAGGCGCGAAAGCGUGGGGAGCAAACAGG